rnacentral:rRNA from 1 species
UACGUAGGGUGCAAGCGUUAAUCGGAAUUACUGGGCGUAAAGCGUGCGCAGGCGGUUGUGCAAGACAGAUGUGAAAUCCCCGGGCUCAACCCUGGGAAUUGCAUUUGUGACUGCACGGCUAGAGUGUGUCAGAGGGGGGUAGAAUUCCACGUGUGAGCAGUGAAAUGCGUAGAGAUGUGGAGGAAUACCGAUGGCGAAGGCAGCCCCCUGGGAUAACACUGACGCCUGCAU